rnacentral:rRNA from 1 species
UACGUAGGGUGCAAGCGUUGUCCGGAAUUAUUGGGCGUAAAGAGCUCGUAGGCGGUCUGUCGCGUCUGCUGUGAAAACUCAGGGCUUAACCCUGAGCUUGCAGUGGGUACGGGCAGACUAGAGUGCGGUAGGGGAGACUGGAAUUCCUGGUGUAGCGGUGGAAUGCGCAGAUAUCAGGAGGAACACCGGUGGCGAAGGCGGGAUCCUGGGCCAGUACUGACGCUGAGGAGCGAAAGCGUGGGGAGCAAACAGG